AUACAGGUCUUCCCUAUUUAAUGUAGAUGGAGAUUACAUAAGAACAUGAAUACCAGAAAACAGGGAGUAUUGAGGGCCAUCUUGGAGGUUGACCACGAUGGAAUGUAACUAAGGAAAGAUCCAGAAUGUAUGGAGGACCACACAAAUCUAUGGAAAGCAUUCAUCACUUCCUACCCCCUCCCUCUAGCUCACCAAAGAAGACUGGCGACAAGGCAGACUUUGUGCCAUCAGUCAUCCAGAGCAAUCCAGGCCUUCAGUUAUAUACACUCCCCAAGGAAAGACGUGUAUGGAAAUAUCAUUGUUUCUUUAGGGGACCUGACAUCCUCUGCUUGGGACCCCAGAUGCUAGUUCCUGCUUGUCAAUACAAUUCUCAUAUUGUUCCUGCCAUAAAUGAACAUAAGAGCUGAGGAAGCUCAGAGUCCAAGAAGGAAUGACUCCAUGACCUGAGGAAGAUGGCCAGGGAAUGGAACACCCAUGAUGUCCUUGAAAUCCUCUACCUGCCCUAAAUAGGACUCUUCCCAAUGUCUUAUAUCUACUGCCAUAAGUAAUCACAGCAACGCAACCAUCUCAGCAUGAACAUCCCCACGUACAGAUGAGAACCCCAGCUGACAGCAGUCAGCCAACUUGCCUAAGAAAACUUCAGCUAGAGAAGCGCCGGAGGAAAUGCAGACACCCAGUGUUCCAAUUCUAGAUUUCUUAACCUAUUUCACAGAUGAAAACUGAGCCCUGUUUCAAGUUCCUAUAAUUUUUUCUUCUCUCAUCCUCCCCUCUUUGGUCAUGUACAUCCCAGUCCAUUUGCAAAUGACUCUGAGGACAAUAAGGUGGCAGUCCUCUGGGUCAGAGGGGGUGUGGGGCAAAAAGAAAAUAAACACAUCCUUUUUAUACUUUAUUAUUUCUCUCGAAGUGCUGAAAGCCUUAGAGAGGUGCAGAAGUCUUGGUCACUGAUAUUGGUGAGAGAGCCAUAGUGCCAUAUCAGCGUGAUCUAGUGAAGGGAGGUCAGGGUUUCUGAGGAAGGGGUGAAGAAGGAGACAAUCCUUUUAUUUUCUUUAUAAUUUUAUUUAUUUGUUUAUUUAUUUAUUUAUUUAUUCAUUCAUUCAUUGAGAGAGAGAGAGAC